UCAAAGGAGAAGAUAGUACCCAGCUUCAGUGCCGAGUACCAAUUUCUUGCUGCUUCCUUCAAGAUAGAUGGGAAGGCUCGGCACAGGAUGGCGUCUGGCGCACCAUAGAGCAGCAUCAUUAUCCGAAAGGCCUCCAGGUGGUCAACCAGAUCUGAGGUCCCGUCGUAGCUCUCGAAUUGGGGGAGCUUAAAGUUCGGAGGGAUUGGCUCCUGCAUGAUCAUUUGAGAGAAAAGAGGGUCAGUGCAGAUGUCCUCACCAUAAGCAGUGGGAGCAUGGCGGAGCUCUUCGAUCCACCGGUUCAUCUCCCGAAAUCUUUGAUCUAGGUGGUCCUC
rnacentral:lncRNA from 1 species